GACGAACGCUGGCGGCGUGCCUAACACAUGCAAGUCGAACGGAGUUAAGACUUCGGUUUUAACUUAGUGGCGAACGGGCGAGUAACGCGUGAGAAACCUACCUUUCAGUGGGGGACAACAGUUGGAAACGACUGCUAAUACCGCAUAAUGUAGCGACGGGGCAUCCCGAUGCUACCAAAGAUUUAUUGCUGAAAGAUGGUCUCGCGUCUGAUUAGCUAGUUGGUGAGGUAACGGCUCACCAAGGCGACGAUCAGUAGCCGGUCUGAGAGGAUGAACGGCCACAUUGGGACUGAGAUACGGCCCAG
rnacentral:rRNA from 1 species